rnacentral:rRNA from 1 species
UACGUAGGGCGCGAGCGUUGUCCGGAAUUAUUGGGCGUACAGAGCUCGUAGGCGGCUUGUCGCGUCGGUUGUGAAAGCCCGGGGCUUAACCCCGGGUCUGCAGUCGAUACGGGCAGGCUAGAGUUCGGUAGGGGAGACUGGAAUUCCUGGUGUAGCGGUGAAAUGCGCAGAUAUCAGGAGGAACACCGGUGGCGAAGGCGGGUCUCUGGGCCGAUACUGACGCUGAGGAGCGAAAGCGUGGGGAGCGAACAGG